AUGAAGGGGGUGUUUGGUGUUUGGAUUAACUUAUUUAUGAAGGUUUUGUGCGUUGAGAAGUUAUUUUUGAGAAGUUAGAAUUUCUAACUUCUCACUUAUCACUUAUAUAAGCUAAUAAGUCCUUAUUGAAAAGGAAUCCCAAACACCACCGAAGUUUUAUAAAAAAGAAAAAACCCCUGCUUUCCCAUAUAUUAAGUUUUAUAAUAAGUACUUUUAAUAAAACAUUGUUAAGUAUCGUAUCGUAUAUGUCUCGUAUAAGUAUCGUAUAGGCCUAUGGAUGUAGUAUCGUAUUGUAUAAUGUAGUAUACGUCUCGUAUAGGCCUAUAGGUGUAGUAUAGUAUCUUAUCCUAUCGUAUCGUAUAGUGUAGUAUAGGUCCUAUAUAGGCCUAUAUGUGUAAUAUCGUAUCGUAUAAGUCUCGUAAAGGCCUAUAGAUGUAGUAUCAUAUCGUAUCGUAUCAUAUAGUGUAGUACGUCUCGUAUAGGCUCUUAUAGGCCUCAUAUAGGCUUUUAGGUAUAGUAUAAGUCCCAAGGUGUAGCAUCGUAUCAUAAUGCAUUGUAUAGAUGUAAUAUAGGUUCUAUACUGGACCUAAACUACACCUAUAGAUAGGCCUUUGUGAGAACUAUACUACACCUAAACAAUACGAUGCUAUACUAUACUACACCUAUAGGCCUAUACGGGAGUUGUAUCAUAUCCUAUCGUAUUGUAUUGUAUCGUAUCAUAUUAUAUAGUAUAGUAUAGUAUCAUCUCGUAAUUUAUAGUAUAGUAUCGUAUCGUAUCAUGGAGUGUCGUGUAAGUCUCGUAUAGAUCCCCUAUAGGUCUUGUAUAGGCCUAUACGGGACUUAAACUACACAUGUAGUCCUAUACGGAACCUAUACUACACCUAUAGGCCUAUACUACAACUAUACGAUACGAUGCUAUAGUAUACUAUACUGUAAUACACCUAUAGAAAUAUACGGGACCUGUACUACACCUAUACGAUAUUAUACUAUAGUAUACGAUAAGGUAUGAUACUAUACUACACCUAUAGGCCUAUACGAAACUUAUACUACACUAUAUGAUACGAUACGAUACUACACCACCGAAGUUUUAUAAAAAAGAAAAAACCCCUGCUUUCCCAUAUAGUUAAGUUUUAUAAUAAGUACUUUUAAAAAAAUUGUUAAGUAUCGUAUCGUAUAUGUCUCGUAUAAGUAUCGUAUAGGCCUAUGGAUGUAGUAUCGUAUUGUAUAAUGUAGUUUAGGUCUCGUAUAGGGCUAUAGGUGUAGUAUAGUAUCUUAUCCUAUCGUAUCGUAUAGUAUAGUGUAGUCCUGUAUAGGCCUAUAUGUGUAAUAUCGUAUCGUAUAAGUCUCGUAAAGGCCUAUAGAUGUAGUAUCGUAUCGUAUCGUAUCAUAUAGUGUAGUACGUCUCGUAUAGGCUUUUAUAGGCCUCAUAUUGGCUUUUAGGUGUAGGAAAGUCCCAAGGUGUAGUAUCGUAUCGUAUUGUAUUGUAUUGUAUAGAUGUAGUAUAGGUUCUAUACGGGACCUAAACUACACCUAUAGAUAGGCCUAUGU
rnacentral:lncRNA from 1 species